UUAAACUUCACUUUUGGGUGAUCUUUAUUAUCUAUUGUGGGGGUGGAGCGCCCACAUACCAUUGCAUGUGAGUGAAAGUUAGGAGACAGUUUUUGAGCAUUCUCUCCUUUCACUGUGUGGGUCCAGCACCUCCAACUAUGUUCUCAGGAUUACAGUGGGGUGGGGGGACGCCUUUAUGACUGAGCCCAAUAAACUUCACUUUUAGAUGUGAAGUUGCUUAGUGAUGUAGGCUGGGUUGCCCUGACAGUCCCUGAAGUUGACGUGCAGAACUAAUUUAUAAUCCCAUCUGUGAGUUGGGUCUUCACAUUCCUGCAGCGCCCCCAGCUCCCGAUUAUGGUUAAGUGUAAUUACCAAGCAUGAACACUAGGGGGCAGCUCAUCACCACGAGUGUUUCCGAAGACCUACCUGGACUUGACAGGUUAGUAAAUUCCAUCUGGCUCCCUGUAAAAUCACAGGCGUGAGUGUUUGCAUUUAGAGCUGGAAGUCAAGUUAGAGAAGAGCCUGUGAAACUUCAGUGUGGUUGCAGACCAUUCAAGGUUAAUUGGUUAAUUGGUUUUAGUUUCAGUCUUUUGUUUUGGUUUUUUAGUAGUGUGUAUGUGCCUUCAGGUGGGUACAGGUGGGUGGGUGGGUGUGUACAUGAGCGCAGGUCAGAGGCGUUAGAUCUGAGCAGAGAUGGAGUACACUCUGUCUCUGUAAGGAAGUGGGUGCUCAGAAUUAUACUGAGGUCCUCUGCAAGAGUGGUCCAGGCUUCUAACCAAUGAGCUAUAUCUUGGCCCCCAAAGGUUCUUGUUUAACAAUAGAUUCUAAUUCUUCUGGUGGAGCCUGAAGACCUCCCGUCCCUCCCUCCCUCCCUUCUUCCCUCCCUCCCUCCUCUACAAGUUCCCCUGAGCAGAAGUGAGGGGCAUCUAUCCCCUUGGCUCCUAACAUGCUGGACUGGAAAGGUGUAGCACUAGACCUGCACGAUCUGGCUAAUGUGCAAACCAUGAGGUUAGUCAUGCAGGAGUAUUAGAUGAGCCCUCACUGAAGAGUAUUUAAAGCAAAGCAAAACAAAAAGUUGACCAGUGUUCUUUAAAAAUGUUAAUGUCGUGCAGGUAUGGCGGUAGUAGCUGCAUCCUGGCCCUUGGCUGGCAGGAGCUCAGAAAUUCCAAGCUACCUAAGGAGACCCUGUCUCAGGCAAAACAAGAACAACAUAUCGAAGGAGGCAGGGUAACACAACCUAUGGUCCCAGCACUCUUGAGAAGGAGGAAGAGGAGGAGGAGGAGGUAGAGGUGGAAGAGGAAGAAGAACCAAGGCCAGCCUGGGCUGUGUAGCAAACUUAAGGAGAGCCUUGGCUACAUGAUAAGAUGGUCUAAGAAAGCAAAACAACAACAAAAGUCAAGACAAAAAACCUGGAGCCAUUCUACAUCCUACUUCCACAGAUAUGGGGACAUUUUACUUGAUUUUUCUGAAGCAAAACAUGAUGGUAAAGAUGGUAAGUUUCAGAUGAGGCACAGGCAUCAGAGGCCCAAGUGCCUACCAGGUUAGGUCCUCCUCAAUUUUUUGUUGUUGAGACAGGGUUUCCCUGUGUGGCCCUGGCUGUCCUGGAACUUGCUCUGUAGACCAGGCUGGUCUUGAACUCUCAGAGAUCCUGCUGUCUCUGCCUCCUUAGUGCUGGGAUCAAAGGCGUGCUCCACCACAUCCUCCUCCUCCUCGCUUUUGAGCAUUUUUUUUCUCAUAUGCUAAGCUGGAGGAAGUUCGACAUUAGUUACACAUGGCAGCCCUCCUAUCUUGUUAGACAUCAUUAAUCGAGUGUGGCCCAGGAGAGGUGUUUACAAGUGAACCAGACACUUGCAAGUCUUUAAAAAAAAAGUGUGUGUACUUUAGUUCCUUAGGUCUAUGAAAAUAGGACUGGAGGGUGGAGGCAUUUAGUCUAGGCUCAGCCAGGUGUGGCUGAUUCACUAUAAAAGGGGCUGCCUGGCCCCUUCUCUCUCUUGCCUUCUUGCUCUAGUUCUGUCAUCUUGCUCCUUACCCCUCUCUUCCCAUUCUCCUCCCUCCUCCCUCCACAUGCCUCCACAGCCUCCCCCACCCCUCUCUGCCUUUCUCUGUCUAUAUUCCCUCAACUCCCCUCCCCAUGCCUUGAAUAACCUCUAUUCUAUACUAUACCGUUGUGUGGCUGGUCCCUCAGGGGGAAGGGAUACCUCGGCAUGAACCUGUAGAGGCACCCCUUCCACCACACCAUACCUCCCCGCCACCAAACAUAUUCCUUCCCCUCCCUCCCUUAUCUCCUUAUAAAACACAAUCGUGGGAAGCUGAGAAGGAGCAGGUGUGUAGAAAGGGUUUUUAGAGGAAAGGGCUGCACUGAUGGGAGAGACUGGAGGUGUAAACAAAAAUAGGAAAACCUAAAUACCUAUAAGACUCCAUUUACUACCUCUAAAUUGGUUUGUUUUGUGUACUUGACAUAAAGUUCUACAAACACACACACACACACACACACACAUACACACACACACACACACACAGAAAUACACACAUAUAAAGGUCACAAAUGGCCAGCCUAUUUAGUAGAAUUUUAAAAGAUUCACAAAAGGUGUUAUAGGGGCCGGAGAGAGCUGAUUCUGUGGUUAAGAACGCUUUUAUUAUUGACAAAGACCAGGGUUCAGUUCCCA
rnacentral:lncRNA from 1 species